CUUCUUCGUUUUUGAUUUUUUUGUUUGAAACUUUCAAUCGAAUGAAACCGCCACCAUCACCAUUUCUUCACUUUAGAAUUCGCGCAUGGAACCCACCAACCGUCGUCAUCGCUCACCUUGAAGAACCCCGCUGUCUCAGAGCAUGAAGAACUACCGCCGUAAAGACUCAAUGCCGUCUAGACCUGUCGCGUUCUAAAAUUCAAGCACGGCGACCAAUUCAAGCCGGGAUCGAAUGAAAAGGUUAGUAAACGUUCCUUAUUCCCUUUUGUAAUUGUUUUUGUACAAUUUUUUUCUAUUCAUCUGAUUCUGAGUCAUUAAUUAGGAUUCAUUUUUUUCUCAUCCAAAAACCCUAUUUCAAAUUUAGUUCUUUACUUUGCAUGUAGAGUUUUCUUGUUUAAUUCCAAAUCUAAAUUUAGCAUACUUGAUUUGUUUCCAGGUUUUUUGGGGGGAUAUUGGGGUUUUUGCUGGGGUUGGGAUGUUACUGCCCACGCCCCUUCCUCUGUGUAAAAUUACUUUCCUUUACUCUUUGAAUGUUGUUAAUAUUACAUGUAGAUAUCGUUUAUAAAAAAAUAGCGUAUCUGUACACUUUGUUUCUUAAAUGGGAUUAAUUAUGCUUAUUGAUUAUAAAUUACCAUACUCGUAUAUUAUGUGUUUAAAUUGUUAAAUAAGAACAUUCUGUUUUUCUGGGAACUGCCUGUAUAGUGUGAGAGAGAUUAUUAUUGGAAUUACAAAAAUGCCAUGCAUUGAGUUGAUUUUUUGGGAGAUCAACACCAAUGUUUGAA
rnacentral:lncRNA from 1 species